ACCAUAUCUUGUGUUCAGGGUGCUUCCGAUUCUAGGAUCGGGCGCUAAGAGGGAAUUCGGUGCGCAGCGUCUGCAAAGGUCGCGGCAAAGCCGGAGCUGCCCCCGCAACUGUAAGCGGUGAGUUUCUGCCCAUCAUGUCACUGGCGCGAGCCGGGAAGGCGGGCAGGGGCGUUGAGCCGCGAGCCAGGAGACCUGCCUUGAACGGAAACGUCCA
rnacentral:ncRNA from 2 species